GGAUUAGAUACCCUGGUAGUCCAUGCUGUAAACGAUGAAUACUAGCCGUUAGAACUAUAAAGAGUUUUAGUGGUGGAGCUAACGUAUUAAGUAUUCCGCCUGGGGAGUACGGUCGCAAGAUUAAAACUCAAAGGAAUUGACGGGGGCCCGCACAAGCGGUGGAGCAUGUGGUUUAAUUCGAUGCAACGCGAAGAACCUUACCUGCGCUUGACAUACUCAGAAUCCUACCUAAUAGUAGGAGUGCCGUAAGGAGCUGAGAUACAGGUGCUGCAUGGCUGUCGUCAGCUCGUGUUG
rnacentral:rRNA from 1 species